AGCGGCGAACGGGUGAGUAAUACAUCGGAACGUGCCCAGUAGUGGGGGAUAACCAGUCGAAAGAUUGACUAAUACCGCGUACGACCUACGGGUGAAAGCGGGGGACCGCAAGGCCUCGCGCUAUUGGAGCGGCCGAUGUCGGAUUAGCUAGUUGGCGGGGUAACGGCCCACCAAGGCGACGAUCCGUAGCUGGUCUGAGAGGACGACCAGCCACACUGGAACUGAGACACGGUCCAGACUCCUACGGGAGGCAGCAGUGGGGAAUUUUGGACAAUGGGCGCAAGCCUGAUCCAGCCAUGCCGCGUGAGUGAAGAAGGCCUUCGGGUUGUAAAGCUCUUUCGGCGGGGACGAAACGGUCCGUGCCAACACCAUGGAUCAAUGACGGUACUCGCAGAAGAAGCACCGGCUAACUACGUGCCAGCAGCCGCGGUAAUACGUAGGGUGCAGGCGUUAAUCGGAAUUACUGGGCGUAAAGCGUGCGCAGGCGGCUCCUUAAGUCAGAUGUGAAAUCCCCGGGCUUAACCUGGGAACUGCGUUUGAAACUGGGGAGCUGGAGUGUGGAAGAGGGGGUGGAAUUCCAGGUGUAGCAGUGAAAUGCGUAGAGAUCUGGAGGAACACCGAUGGCGAAGGCAGCCCCCUGGGCUAACACUGACGCUCAUGCACGAAAGCGUGGGGAGCAAACAGGAUUAGAUACCCUGGUAGUCCACGCCUAAACGAUGUCAACUAGUUGUUAGGGAAGCAAUUCCUUGGUAACGAAGCUAACGCGUGAAGUUGACCGCCUGGGGAGUACGGCCGCAAGGUUAAAACUCAAAGGAAUUGACGGGGACCCGCACAAGCGGUGGAUUAUGUGGAUUAAUUCGAUGCAACGCGAAAAACCUUACCUACCCUUGACAUGUACGGAACCUCGCAGAGAUGUGAGGGUGCCCGAAAGGGAGCCGUAACACAGGUGCUGCAUGGCUGUCGUCAGCUCGUGUCGUGAGAUGUUGGGUUAAGUCCCGCAACGAGCGCAACCCUUGUCACUAGUUGCUACAUUCAGUUGGGCACUCUAAUGAGACUGCCGGUGACAAACCGGAGGAAGGUGGGGAUGACGUCAAGUCCUCAUGGCCCUUAUGGGUAGGGCUUCACACGUAAUACAAUGGCCGGUACAAGGGGCUGCCAACCCGCGAGGGGGAGCUAAUCCUAGAAAGCCGGUCGUAGUCCGGAUUGUUCUCUGCAACUCGAGAGCAUGAAGUCGGAAUCGCUAGUAAUCGUGGAUCAG
rnacentral:rRNA from 1 species